rnacentral:rRNA from 1 species
UACGUAGGGUCCGAGCGUUGUCCGGAGUUACUGGGCGUAAAGCGCGCGCAGGCGGCGGUGUAAGCAUGGCGUGAAAGCCCCUGGCUUAACCAGGGAGGGUCGUCGUGGACUGCACCGCUUGAGGGCGGUAGGGGCUGGUGGAAUGCCUGGUGUAGUGGUGAAAUGCGUAGAGAUCAGGCGGAACACCCGUGGCGAAGGCGGCCAGCUGGGCCGUCCCUGACGCUGAGGCGCGAAAGCUAGGGGAGCAAACAGG